GUGCCAGCAGCCGCGGGUAAUACGGAGGAUGCAAGCGUUAUCCGGAUUUAUUGGGUUUAAAGGGUGCGCAGGCGGCGCGUUAAGUCAGCGGUGAAAUGUCCCGGCUCAACCGGGGCACUGCCGUUGAUACUGGCGUGCUGGAGUACGGACGGCGCCGGCGGAAUGUGCAGUGUAGCGGUGACAUGCUUAGAUAUUGCACAGAACACCGAUCGCGAAGGCAGCUGGCGAGGCCGGUACUGACGCUCAGGCACGAAAGCGUGGGGAGCAAACAGGAUUAGAUACCCUGGUAGUCCACGCAGUAAACGAUGAUGACUUGUUGUCGGCGAUAGAAUGUCGGUGACAAAGCGAAAGCGAUAAGUCAUCCACCUGGGGAGUACGAUCGCAAGGUUGAAACUCAAAGGAAUUGACGGGGGCCCGCACAAGCGGAGGAGCAUGUGGUUUAAUUCGAUGAUACGCGAGGAACCUUACCUGGACUCAAAUGUUGAGCGACCGUUCCAGAAAUGGGACUUUCCUUCGGGACGCUUAGCAAGGUGCUGCAUGGUUGUCGUCAGCUCGUGCCGUGAGGUGUCAGGUUAAGUCCUAUAACGAGCGCAACCCCUACGUCCAGUUGCCAGCGGGUGAAGCCGGGGACUCUGGAGGAACUGCCCACGCAAGUGGAGAGGAAGGUGGGGAUGACGUCAAAUCAGCACGGCCCUUACGUCCAGGGCGACACACGUGCUACAAUGGCCGGUACAGAGGGCAGCCACCCCGCGAGGGGGAGCGAAUCUCGAAAGCCGGUCUCAGUUCGGAUCGGAGUCUGCAACCCGACUCCGUGAAGUUGGAUUCGCUAGUAAUCGCGCAUCAGCCAUGGCGCGGUGAAUACGUUCCCGGGCCUUGUACACACCGCCCGU
rnacentral:rRNA from 1 species